rnacentral:rRNA from 1 species
GACGACGGGUAGCCGGCCUGAGAGGGCGACCGGCCACACUGGGACUGAGACACGGCCCAGACUCCUACGGGAGGCAGCAGUGGGGAAUAUUGCACAAUGGGCGAAAGCCUGAUGCAGCGACGCCGCGUGAGGGAUGACGGCCUUCGGGUUGUAAACCUCUUUCAGCAGGGAAGAAGCGAAAGUGACGGUACCUGCAGAAGAAGCGCCGGCUAACUACGUGCCAGCAGCCGCGGUAAUACGUAGGGCGCAAGCGUUGUCCGGAAUUAUUGGGCGUAAAGAGCUCGUAGGCGGCUUGUCACGUCGGUUGUGAAAGCCCGGGGCUUAACCCCGGGUCUGCAGUCGAUACGGGCAGGCUAGAGUUCGGUAGGGGAGAUCGGAAUUCCUGGUGUAGCGGUGAAAUGCGCAGAUAUCAGGAGGAACACCGGUGGCGAAGGCGGAUCUCUGGGCCGAUACUGACGCUGAGGAGCGAAAGCGUGGGGAGCGAACAGGAUUAGAUACCCUGGUAGUCCACGCCGUAAACGGUGGGCACUAGGUGUGGGCAACAUUCCACGUUGUCCGUGCCGCAGCUAACGCAUUAAGUGCCCCGCCUGGGGAGUACGG